GAUGAGAACGUAGCGAAAUGCGAUACGUAGUGUGAAUUGCAGAAUUCAGUGAAUCAUCGAAUCUUUGAACGCACAUUGCACCUCUCGGUAUUCCGGGAGGUAUGCCUGUUCGAGCGUCAUUUGUACCCUCAAGCUCUGCUUGGUGUUGGGUGUUUGUUCCGCCUCUGUGUGUGAACUCGCCUCAAAACAAUUGGCAGCCGGCGUACUUGUUUCGGAGCGCAGCACAUUUUGCGAUCCAGAUCAACGUACAGCGGCAUCCAAGAAGCCUUAUUUAACGCUCUUGACCUCGGAUCAGGUAGGGAUACCCGCUGAACUUAAGCAUAUCAAUAAGCGGAGGA
rnacentral:misc_RNA from 1 species